GUGAGUAGUUCAGAGUUUGAUCCUGGCUCAGGACGAACGCUGGCGGCGUGCCUAACACAUGCAAGUCGAACGGAGUGAAACGCUGAUUUGAUGUUAGCUUGCUAACGGAUUUUCUUGUUUCACUUAGUGGCGGACGGGUGAGUAACGCGUGAGGAACCUGCCCUUCAGAGGGGGACAACAGUUGGAAACGACUGCUAAUACCGCAUGAUGUAUCUCUGGGACAUCCCUAAGAUACCAAAGGAGCAAUCCGCUGAAGGAUGGCCUCGCGUCCGAUUAGAUAGUUGGUGGGGUAACGGCCCACCAAGUCGACGAUCGGUAGCCGGACUGAGAGGUUGAACGGCCACAUUGGGACUGAGACACGGCCCAG
rnacentral:rRNA from 1 species